rnacentral:rRNA from 1 species
AUGGCAGGUUCGUUCAAGACCAUUCUCGACUCAACUAAUAACAUCAUUACAAGGAACCGAAGGGUCCAGGAGCGGCUUGAUCUCCCCUAUCUUCUUCGCCGUGACCCUGCUGACUGGUGCGGGGACGAGGGAAGCCUCGCCUUGUGUAAGUUGAUGCCGCUUGAUAAUGAUACGUAUGAUGUUAAGAUGCCAUCGCUUGAGGGCAAGGCUUGGGCAGGCGCAAAUGCAGAUUGGGUUGUUUAUAUUGGGUACAACUGCGAGUGGGAACUUGUGAAUGUGUACACUCGUCAUCGGGUUCCACUUCGAAAAAUCUCAGACGACUGCCCAGAGAUUGAGUACACCGGUAUUCUAUGUGAGUUCAAAUACGAUCAUGCUGACUGUCAUCUACGGAAGAUAGCAAUUUGUCGAGAUCCCAGCCGCUCUUGGGGUUAUAGGAAUGCUUAUGUUGUUGCCAUCUUCGACAAGCUUGUUGCCGUCCUUCAUGGUUCGACUCGAUGGAUAUUGCUCAAAAAUCAGUUUCUAUACACGGUGAGUACUGUGAUGCAAUUCAAUACGAGGGUCUUAUGUUUGCUGCCACCACUCAUGGCACUUUUUUGCAUGGAAUCCUUAUGA